GGUUUUGGUUUAGUGGUACAGCGUCUGCUUUGCACACAGAAGGUCCUGGGUUCAAUACCCGGCAUCUCCA